AUCGCUUCUCUGCCUUUUUGAUUAAGAUCAAGUGUAGUAUCUGUUCUAAUCAGUUUAAUAUCUGAUACGUCCCCUUUCUGGAGUCCAUAUAUUAGAUGAAUUUCUGGAACAAGGAGAUGGAAGAAGAGCUUGCUCUGUCCACUUCACGCAUUGGCCUGGUAUUGUAUGACCUCCAGGAGCGGUGCACCCAUC